rnacentral:lncRNA from 1 species
AUAUAGAGGCUCAGAUUCCAAAGAGGAGGAAGAUGAACCAGAGAAGGCAGGGAGUUGACAGACAUAAUCCUUAAGAUAGGAAGGAGGAUUAUGUUGUCGUUGAGACUUUCUAGGAGUAGGAAUAGAGGGAGAAGAAGCUAAAGUAGGAGGUGAGCUGGCAGGAUUGAAAGGAGAAGGGAAGACUGAAGCACUUGGGACAAUGACAGGGACAGGAAAAGGCAUCUGCACAGAUGUGGGAGAAGAGGGAGGAGAGAGGGGAAUGAGAGAAUCAGAGGCAUCAUCAUGUUCUUCAGAUGGAACAAAGGGAAAAGGAGAAGCAGGAGGAUGAGCAGAAGGAGGCGCAGAUUUAAAAGGAAAACAUAAUUCAUGAAAGAGAGCAUCCCUGGAGACCAAAUACUUCUUUGAAGCAAGAUCAUAUAAUCUAUUACCCUUUUUGCCAAAAGGAUAUCCCAGGAAAACACAAGGAAUGGCUCUUGGCUUUAACUUGUCCCUUUGAGGGAUAAGAACAGUGGCAUAGGCAAGGCAACCAAAAGUCCUCAAGUGAGUAUAGGUUGGAAUUUUCCCAUACAAAAUUUCAUGAGGAGACUUAUUAUGAAGCAAUCUGGUGGGUAUUCUGUUAAGGAGAUAGGUAGNNNNNNNNNNNNNNNNNNNNNNNNNNNNNNNNNNNNNCUGGUGGGUAUUCUGUUAAGUAGAUAGGUAGCAGUCAACAAACAAUCCCCCCAGAAAGAUACUGGCAAGCCAGAUUGAAAAAGCAAAGCCCUACACGUUUCAAGGAGAGUUCUAUGCUUUCUCUCAACAAUACCAUUUUGUUGAGGGGUGUGAGGACAGGAGGUUUGAUAUAUGAUCCCCUGGCUGCUAAAGAAAGAAAUACCCUCAUUGCUAGAGCCCAAUUCUAAGGCAUUUUAGGCCUAGUAUGAGUCAGGAAGAGCAGCUUGCCAAUUAGACUCCUGUACUGGUCAGGAGAGGGCAAGAGGUCACCAGAAUCAGCAUGAAAUUUGAUAUUGAUGUCCAAAGGGGACACAACAGAAGAGACAUUGACACAGUCAAACUGAUGCAGCAAAUCAGAAAUAUACUUGUGCUGAUUAAGGUGCAUUCCACCAGGGACAACAGACAUCUCUAGGCCCAAAAAAUAGUGCAAAGACCCCAAAUCCUUGAUUUCAAACUGAUCAUCCAGAAACAGUUUUAGAGCAGUCAGUUCAUCACU